GAUGAACGCUAGCGGCAGGCCUAACACAUGCAAGUCGAGGGAGGAGCCUUCGGGCUUCGACCGGCGUACGGGUGCGUAACGCGUAUACAAUCUGCCUUUCACAUAGGGAUAGCCCGAAGAAAUUUGGAUUAAUACCUAAUGGUAUAUAGAUGUGGCAUCACCUUUAUAUUAAAGCUGAGGCGGUGAAAGAUGAGUAUGCGUUCUAUUAGCUAGUUGGAGAGGUAACGGCUCCCCAAGGCGACGAUAGAUAGGGGUUCUGAGAGGGAUAUCCCCCACACUGGUACUGAGAUACGGACCAGACUCCUACGGGAGGCAGCAGUGAGGAAUAUUGGACAAUGGUCGGAAGACUGAUCCAGCCAUGCCGCGUGCAGGAAGACGGCCUUAUGGGUUGUAAACUGCUUUUGCAGGGGAAGAAUAAGGACUACGCGUAGUUUGAUGACGGUACUCUGCGAAUAAGCAUCCGCUAACUCCGUG
rnacentral:rRNA from 1 species